GAUGAACGCUAGCGGCAGGCUUAACACAUGCAAGUCGAGGGGUAUAGUUCUUCGGGACUAGAGACCGGCGCACGGGUGCGUAACGCGUAUGCAAUCUACCUUUCACAGAGGGAUAGCCCAGAGAAAUUUUGGAUUAAUACCUCAUAGUAUAAUGAGUUGGCAUCAACACAUUAUUAAAGUCACAACGGUGAAAGAUGAGCAUGCGUCCCAUUAGCUAGAUGGUAAGGUAACGGCUUACCAUGGCAACGAUGGGUAGGGGUCCUGAGAGGGAGAUCCCCCCACACUGGUACUGAGACACGGACCAGACUCCUACGGGAGGCAGCAGUGAGGAAUAUUGGACAAUGGGCGCAAGCCUGAUCCAGCCAUGCCGCGUGCAGGAUGACGGUCCUAUGGAUUGUAAACUGCUUUUGUACAGGAAGAAACACUGGUUCGUGAACCAGCUUGACGGUACUGUAAGAAUAAGGAUCGGCUAACUCCGUGCCAG
rnacentral:rRNA from 1 species